rnacentral:misc_RNA from 1 species
UGUGCAAGGAUACGAGAAUGUCAGAGAAACAAGACCGCAUAAACGAUGUUCUCGCCCAGCGCAUCACACAGCUGGAGUGUGAGCUUCGCAAUGCUCAGCACGACCUUUCCUCUGCGCUCGGCCAAAAGGAGCGUGCUGAGCAAGAGAAAAAGUUGCUAAAGGAUGAGGCAUUCGAGGUUGUAGAACAGUGGAGCGCAGAGAACACAGAGUUGCGCCACAAGCUAGCGGUGAUGGAGAAAGAAAGCGCAGCAGAUAAGGCGACACUCAGGAACCGCGAUGAUAUGGUAGCGUGCUUAAAAGAAGAACUAGAUGUCGCGCAGCGGCUGACCGCGCAGUACUCUACUGAGAUCGAGGACCAGCAGCAAAAACACCGCAACUUGGAGCAGCAAAACGCGCAGCUGGCCGAAAGUUUGGCCGCCGCUCGAAGCGAACUCGCUUCGUGUACCCAGCGUGUAGCGGACUACGAGCGCCUCGUCGCGAAAUUUCAGGCUGAGAUGAAGGCUGCGCUUGCCUCUCGAAAGAAAGACACCGAAGCGCUUGAUCACCUGCGAUCAUCGCUUGCGAAGGCGACCGCAGAAAAUGAAGCUCUCCGUGACGCCGGCGAGAAUGUGUCCUCUAGCAUGGAGAGGCUGCUCGAGCGGGUAGCCAAGCUCAAGGAAGAAAAUGAGUCACUUCGAAAGAACUCCGAGCAACUUCUUUCUGCAAAAGAUGAGCUGACGCGACAACUCCAUCGCGACUGCGACGAACGGCGGCAGCUCUCUGACGAAUUGAGGUCGCUUUCCGCGCGUGUAGCGGCCUCUGAGAACGAAGCACAACAGCUCCGAGAAAAGUGCGAACGUACGGAAAAACAGCUUACAGCCUCCGACUCUGCACUGCAAGAGUCACACACUGCAGCAGAGCAGCAGCUGCAACUGAUUCAGACACUGGAAAGCGAUGUUAUAGAGUUGAAGGACAGGGAAAUAACUACAGGCAAGGCGCUGUGUGAUUUGCAGGCAGAACUUCUACGUCUAAAUCAACAGCUGGAUGAGAUAUCGCAGCAGAAGGAAGACCUCCAGAUCGAGUUCACUGCGGUCAAAGAGAGCUACGCAACAGCGUUGAUGGAAUUGGAUAACCACAAGCGGACAAGCUCCAACGCCUUGGCCGCGAUGCAAGCCGAGUUCGCAGCCUUCAAACGCGAUUCAACGGAGAGGUGCAUGCUUGCCGAGCAGAACUGUAGUUCCGCGUGGCUGUCGGUGCAGGAGCUGACUGACGCUCUACGCGCGCAACAGCUUUCGGAGCUUGCACAUAGGGAGCAGAUUUCCCGUAGCUCGAUCCUUCUGGACCAGCAAGCAUCGAUCGGCGGAGCGUUUGAGCAGCGUUUUCACGCCGUACUGGCUCAGCACUCUGAUUGCUGCCGGGCUCUUGAACGGGCCGAAGAACGCAUUCGACAACACGAAUUCAACGCCGCCAAAACAGCUGAGCAGAUAAGUGCGCUUUCAAGCCGGUGCCGUACCAGCGAGCAGACAGUAGGCGAGCAACGCAAGGCGUUGUCGCUGCUCGAAAGCCAGCUCAGUCAGGGUGCAGCGCACCUCAAAGAGGUUAUACUUGAGCGCGACACCUUUGCCAAGGACAACGCUUGGUUGAGGGACCAGGUAGAGUCCAUGCGACAGGAGCUGGGGGAGCUUGACGAGCUCCUGAACUCGAAUCUCAACGAGAUGCGUGAAGAGAACGAACGACUACAGCUAGAGAAUGAUUCAAUGCGACACAAUGUUGCUGCAGCCAACCACAAAGAACAAGAAGCUGCUGUGCGGAUUACAGCGUUACAGGUAAGUGUCAGUGAUCUGGAGGGUGAACUUCGCGCGCAAGCAAAGACGUUGGAAAUCACGGAAGCCGAGUUGCAGGCACUCAAGGCACAAGUCGAGAAUUUAUCCACUUCCUUGGACCUUUCCAAAAGAAGAUGUGAGGAAUUGGAAGCUGUCAACACAGAGGCAGAUAAAUCCAACUCUGCCUUGAUACUGCAGGCGGCACAACUGCAGGAGCGCCUUGGCAGCCAGGAAUCCAAGCUCUCUCUAAUUCUCUCUGAAAAGCGAAAGGAGAGUGAGAGCUUGAAACGAAAACUCAACGCAUACGUUGAGAAGUGCGAAAAGUGCGAGCAGCUGCUUCAUGCGGAGAUCAAAGCUAGAAAGGAAUUGGAAAGCGCGAUUGCAGCAGCAAAGGAGCACAAUGGAAAGCUGCGCGGCGCGCUAGACGAGCUUAAAAUCCGCUGUGCAAGUGACGCCUCUACCAUCAAAGAGCUUUUGGCUGAAAGGGACAAUCUUAUCCGCGAUCGUGACAUCAUUGUGGAAAAGUACAACAAGCUUCACGAUGCGUUCCGGAAUGUUCGCAGGGAAGCGCACAGCAAGGUGGCUGACGAGCUCAAGCGGGUUAUGGAGCUGGCCAUGUCACAAGAAACGGAGCUGCAGACAUUGAGGAAGCAAAACUCGACCCUGAAGAAGAGUAUAUCGAUGUUUGUAGAAUCCGCACAACCGAAGGCUGAAGCCGUUUUCAUGGAAAGGCUCAAUCUCACGGAAGGCCCUUUACGGCACCCCAAAAAGCGCAGCGCUGCAAGCACCACUGAACAGCAAUAAAGGUAUCUCGUUUUCUUUUUCCGGUUGUAGAUUUUUCCGUUUGAAAACGAAAAGAAAAAAAUAUUAGAUUUUCUUUCCUCUGUUCAGUAGAUCUAAAUUUAGUGAACAGCAUAGUGCCUUUUGUUUUUCGCAGCUCGUUAAAGUGCUUACUUGCAGUCGCUAAGCGGAGGCAUAUCCGCAGCGCGUUUGUCUGCCCAGUAUUACCUGUCAGUGGCAUUUCACAACUGUGUUUAUCCUCUGGCAGUGGAUAUCGAGGACCAUGUACCGAACGCGAUGCCUCACAGUCGAUUGCCGCAUCCUCUCAAAGGCGUUUUGUGAAGGCGUUUUCGUUUUCCUUCCCUUCCGUGCGGGUGAGUUGUGAUGACCCUUCCCGCCCUUAUAGAGACAUCGAGGAAAAGUGAGAAAAACCAUUCUCGAAACCCGUCUGUGGCGCUAUAAAAAGUGUCUUCUACCAUAGGGCUUCUUCAACUCUUUAUGACGAACAGCAGCACUUUCUCCUCUAGUGUGUCACUGUCGUAUGUGCUCAUCUUCGAAAAAAAAAGAUUCGGCUGCCGAAGCACGCUUCUUUCUGGUAUCAAAACGUUUCUGUCAUAUGCUACCUUCUGUGUAAGCAAAGUGUGCCACUAUGGAGCCUACUCGCAACUUUCCUUUCCCUCUUUAUUGUUUUCUGUUUGCAAAG